UCAGUUGCUUUAUAUAGACCCGAAGCGAGGUGAUCUACUCAUGGCCAGGCUGAAAUUUCGUUAACCCGAAAUGGAGGGCCGAACCGAUGUCUGUUGCAAAAGGCUCGGAUGAGCUGUGAGUGGGAGUGAAAGGCUAAUCAAACCUCGUGAUAGCUGGUUCUCCCCGAAAUAGCUUGAGGGCUAGCCUCUUCUGAACCGUGACGGAGGUAGAGCACUGGAUGGGCUAGGGGCGUUACCGCGCUACUGAACCCAACCAAACUCCGAAUGCCGUUACUGGAUAGAAGGGAGUCAGACUACGGGCGCUAAGGUCCGUGGUCAAAAGGAAAACAGUCCAGACCGUCAGCUAAGGUCCCUAAGAAUAGGUUAAGUGGAAAAGGUUGUAGGAUUGCGAUAACAGCCAGGAGGUUGGCUUAGAAGCAGCCAUCCUUUGAAGAAAGCGUAAUAGCUCACUGGUCAAGCGAUUCCGCGCCGAAAAUUCACCGGGGCUCAAAUCUAUCACCGAAGCUACGGACUUUCAUUGAAUCCUUGAUUUGAUGAAAUUGGUAGGGGAGCAUUCUCUGAAAGGUGAAGGUUAAUCGACAAGAAUAGCUGGAUUUCAGAGAAGAGAUGAUGCCGGCAUAAGUAGCGAUAAGAGACGUGAGAAUCGUCUCCGCCGAAAACCUAAGGUUUCCUGGGCUAUGUUCGUCAUCUCAGGGUUAGUCGGUCCCUAAGCCGAGACCGAAAGGUGUAGGUAAUGGGAAACAGGUCAAUAUUCCUGUACCACCAUGGUUGCGUUUGAGUGAAGGGGGGACGCAGAAGGGAAGGCACCGCCGGGUGUUGGAUAUCCCGGUCCAAGCCUGUAGGGGGAGUGUCUAGGAAAAUCCGGACGCUCAUUACUCCGAGAGGUUAUGGGGAGGCCGUCAGGCCAUAAACGGGCCGUACCACGCUGCCAAGAAAAGCCUCGUAGCGAGUAACUAGGGUGACCGUACCGUAAACCGACACAGGUAGGUAGGUAGAGUAUACUAAGGCGCGUGAGAGAAUACUCGCUAAGGAACUCUGCAAAUUAACCCCGUAACUUCGGAAGAAGGGGUGCCUCUAUGGUAAAGGAUCUUGCAUCCUAAGCCUACGGAGGUCGCAGUAAAGUGGCUCUGGCGACUGUUUAUCAAAAACACAGGACUCUGCAAAGUCGUAAGACGACGUAUAGGGUCUGAUGCCUGCCCGGUGCCGGAAGGUUAACAGGAGAAGUUAGCCGCAAGGUGAAGCUUUGAAUCGAAGCCCCGGUAAACGGCGGCCGUAACUAUAACGGUCCUAAGGUAGCGAAAUUCCUUGUCGGGUAAGUUCCGACCUGCAUGAAUGGCAUAACGACUGGAGCGCUGUCUCAGCGAGUAACUCAGCGAACUUGAAGACCCGGUGAAGAUGCCGGGUACCCGCGACUAGACGGAAAGACCCCGUGCACCUUUACUACAGCUUGGCAUUGAGUUGUGGGCAGGUAUGUGUAGGAUAGGUGGGAGGCUGUGAAACUGUGGCGCUAGCUGUGGUGGAGCCAACCUUGAAAUACCACCCUUGCAUGUCUGCUAUUCUAACCUAGCUCCAUAAUCUGGAGCAGGAACAGUGCCUGGUGGGUAGUUUGACUGGGGCGGUCGCCUCCAAAAAAGUAACGGAGGCGCCCAAAGGUUUCCUCAGGCUGGUCGGCAAUCAGCCGUAGAGUGUAAAGGCAAAAGGGAGCUUAACUGCGAGACUGACAGGUCAAGCAGGGACGAAAGUCGGGCUUAGUGAUCCGGUGGUUCUGUGUGGAAGGGCCAUCGCUCAUCGGAUAAAAGGUACGCCGGGGAUAACAG
rnacentral:rRNA from 1 species